ACGGGAGGCAGCAGUGAGGAAUAUUGGUCAAUGGGCGAGAGCCUGAACCAGCCAAGUCGCGUGAAGGAUGAAGGUUCUAUGGAUUGUAAACUUCUUUUGUUCGAGGGUAAAGUGAGUCACGUGUGGCUUAUCGCAAGUAUCGAACGAAUAAGCAUCGGCUAACUCCGUGCCAGCAGCCGCGGUAAUACGGAGGAUGCGAGCGUUAUCCGGAUUUAUUGGGUUUAAAGGGUGCGUAGGCGGGAUGUUAAGUCAGCGGUAAAAUAGUGUAGCUCAACUAUACUUCGCCGUCGAAACUGGCGUUCUUGAGUGUAAACGAGGUAGGCGGAAUGUGACGUGUAGCGGUGAAAUGCUUAGAUAUGUCACAGAACCCCGAUCGCGAAGGCAGCUUACCAGGAUACAACUGACGCUGAGGCACGAAAGCGUGGGGAUCGAACAGGAUUAGAUACCCUCGUA
rnacentral:rRNA from 1 species